rnacentral:lncRNA from 1 species
GCAUGUGAUUUGAAUUAUGAAAUAUCUAAAUUUUCUACAAAAUUUUUCUUUAAAUUAUGCUAAAGUAGCAUAAAUGUAAAUCUACAAUGCCUGAUUGAAUUUUAUAUUUGAAUAACCCCAGUUGGGUUUUUUUUUAUUUUACCAUUAAUUUUGAAUGACCGGACAAAUAUAAUACCAGGAUAAAUACAGGAUGAAGGAGACUAAACAUUUUCCAUAAACUCAAGCAAAUUCAACCAAAUUUUUGGAAUUCCAGUACAGUAUGAAAGUCAAAUUUCAAUUUACAAUUCGAAGUGGGGUAAGCAGAACACUUGUUUUACAAUUCGGCUUCUAAUUCAACCAAGUCCAUCGAAUUUUAUGAGUUUCAAACUUCGUUAAUCGUCGCUUAUCUACGAUUCCACAUCACACUGAAGCUUCAGUUGUAGGCCUACCGGGUUACUAACAUAGAUUUAAUAAUCAAAACUUGUAAACUGAAUAUUUUGUAACUUCAGAAAUGAAAUUGAUUUUUAAUGUUGAAAAUAUAAGAUUCAAUCGGA